UCCUCUUUGCCUAUUUAUCCCCUCUUUUUAAACUUCUUCCCCACUUCCCUCUCUUUCUCUUCUAUUUCCUCCCUUUCUGUUUCUCCUCUUCCCUUUUUCCCAUCCACCCCUAUCUUACCCCGCAGCAGGAGCACUGGAAUAUUCAGGAAAAAAAAAACAGGAGAGGGGGAAAUCCCUAGCAACACGCAGACGAGCACACGAGCCGCACCUCACAGGCAAAGGCCUCUGUCUCCUCUAAGCUGUCUGAAACAAAACCAGGAGCGCCAUAGAGGACGGGCGCACCGGAUUUUUGCCGCUGCACUGACUUGCCCGCCUCUGUCCCCCCGCCGUGCCGCGGCACCCCGGACACCCCAGUGGCCACCAGCUAACCCGCACACCCGUCCCACAUCCCAGCGCCUGGCUGGGGCUGGAAGGCGUUCGUCAUCGGCCUGCUGGCUUCCUCCUCCGGCUGCCGGCUACUCCCUGUCUCCCUUUUGUUUCCCAGUACUUUUAUCCCCAGUAAUGGCUAGUUCAGACUUUCACAAGAUAGAGCAGGUUUUGAAGAGAGAAAAAGGUUUUGAAGUGCCGAGAGCUCGUACUGAGUUGCCUCCCUUCCUUCCCCCCAGAAUCUUAGUGUCUCCCCCAGUUUCUUCUCCCUGUGAACACUCCACCCCCCUGGCUCACACAACAGUUCCAUUAAGCACAACCAGCAGAGCCCCACAAAGCAGCCUCUGCUGUGCACGGUUUUGAAAUCGUUAUGUGCUUCUCGGUAAGCAGAAAGGAAAGUUUAGGGAGUUUAAGAGCCCGGUUUUGAUGCCGAUACGUACCUCGCUCUUCUCGGCGCUCUGCGGGGAGCGAGGAGGGCAGAGCUGACGCCUUCCUGCUGCCGUUACUAUGCAACCUCUGCUGUUGUACACAUGGUGCCUG